GCUGGCCUGGUGUUAGCGUGUGAUUUUCGCGUCCUGCAACAACUUCCAGUGCUUCCAUCAGUCAUCUGUGAAUUGGCUUGAGCGGCCCCUCGGGAGGUGUAUUCUCUGGAGCGGUGAUGCCUGGCACCCCUUCCCUUCGUGUGUUUGUUUGCUCUGGAAGGUCUGAGCACAGCAUGUGUGUGUCUGACCCGCAAAGUAAUGGCAGCUCAGCCUCAGGAUCCGUUUCUGAGGCCGGAGCGUGGAAAGCAGGGACUGGAUGUGGGCAGGUGGGCUUAGCAGUGUCAGCUCUCUAAUCGUGCGCCAGAUCCCUCCAUGACCCUGGCUUGCCCCUGUGAAAAAUGGACCAAGUCCUGCUUCACUGUGGAGUAUUUGAGGUGUCCAGCAUAUGCCAGCCCACCUUCUGAGCAAGGCCUGGCAGCGCUCUGAGGAGCAGAGCCUCCCUCCUGUAUUGAUCAGUAGAAUUUUGCAAGUGGCUUAGCUUUCCACGGAGGCAACUUAACAUGUGCUGCACUAGAAGCCAGCCUUGAUCAUGGAGGUGUCUGUGGUGUGACUGCAGAGAAGUUGGAAGACCAGUGUGGGAGUUGGCCAUCACAUCUCUGUCUCAGGCUUCUUUUGCUUCUGAAAGGCAAAGGCACUUGUGAGGAAACUUUAUCAGGGUGAUAAUAGUAGCUGUUUACAGGUGCUCUUUGCCAGAUAAAAAUGGUGUUUCAAUUGU